GCUAAAUUGCAAAAGUCGGUAGUAAAUGGAUGGAUGGACACCGCUAAAAGCUAAGCUCCUUUCAACAGCUUUCAGCAUCUCUGGCGUCGAUGGUGAACUCCACCGGCAGACUGGCGGGAACACCGGAUGUAUUUAGCCCAGGACCAUUGGCACGGACCUUGCUGGCAUCAUGAACAGGCAGGGUCUUGAUCUUGAAUGGACUAAAAGGGUAUGCAGACAUGAGACCAGGAAAAAUAAUCUGAAUUACCUUUUUGACUAUUCCUUACCUUCGAGGGACUUCCUGCUUGGCAUACUUGACACUCACUGUGUACGGGCCCUCAAUGGCAGGGGUGUAGUUGACCGUGUAAUACCCACCACCGUUGUCUUUAACACUGACAGGCUCAGUGAAACCUAGAGAACCAACAGAAGUUCAUCUUCUGUUUAGUGACUGGUUUGUGACAUAAUUGGACACUUGACAAAAACAUUUUUAAGCAGACUGACAACAAUUUAAACAGGCCCAUGUUCCAGAUUGUCACCUGUAGGGCCAAAUAUCUGGACUUCUAAAGGGGCUACACCAGUUUUGCUGCUGUCCACUGUGAAAGUCUGACAGACGUGAGCACGAACUCCACUUCCAAGACCAGGCCCAGAACACCUCACCUUAGUGGGAUCAAUCAGCUCUCGCACUGUGACCCGAAAUGGACUUCCUGCAAAUAUGAGUGCUGUUGUUUAAGCCAGUGAACUCUGUACGUCCCCAUGCUGGACUUCAGUCAACUCAAGAUCGAGCACCUUGAAUUGGAAGUCCUCCAAAGGACAUCUUUGCCUCAGAAGGGCCCUCGAUGGCAAGGCCAAGACCACCUGUGCCAGCACCCCUGAGGAGUGCAGGACAGGAAGGAGGUGAGGAUCUUUAAGUACCAGUAUAAUGGAAAAAACAAGUUUCCUCUUUAUUGAAGCUAUUAUCAUAUGUAUCUGAUGCAUAACACCAAAAGACUUACAAAAUUUGCGAGUAAAUAGAUAUCAUCAAAAUAGUAUAACUCGCAUAGAAAUUCACAAGCCAUUUGGAGAAAUAAUGAGCAAGCCAGUCCGUGACGUCCCCGGGGGUCCCACCAUUCCCUUGGUUGGUUGGUUGAAGUUUAUUUCGAAUAUGUAUGCAGUUUCAACAUGAUACAUCAUAUAUUUUUUCACAUCAUGUCCGAAAAGGAGUAGGAAGAAGCAAAGCUUAUUUAAUCCUACCCCCCUUCCACUUCAUAGCAGGGUUGUUUGUUCUCUAUAACCACUGUUAUCUAUUAUUCUGACUGACCUCUUGUGUAACUCGGUUAGUGAAUUAAAGUUAAAGUUAAAGUACCAAUGAUUGUCACACACACACUAGGUGUGGUGAAAUUUGUCCUCUGCAUUUGACCCAUCCCCUUGGGGAGCAGUAGUGUGCUUUUGUAGUUAUUUCUCCAUAUUUUUACACAAUAACUCAGUUAUGGUAACACUAGGGAGCAGUAGAGAAUAUGGAGUGAUUAUUGGUCUAGAACAUACAGUAUUUUGCUUUGUACAUUAUAUAAAUAUUUAUUGCCACUUUAUGUUGUAUAUUUUUAUAUGAGAUUUCCAGCUCAUUUUAUCAUCUAUUUUAGCACCCAAAAAUUCUAUUUAAUUCACCCUUUCAAUGUCUACUCCGCCUAUUUGCAUUUGUGUCU